GACGAACGCUUGCGGCGUGCCUAAUACAUGCAAGUAGAACGCUGAAGAGAGGAGCUUGCUCUUCUUGGAUGAGUUGCGAACGGGUGAGUAACGCGUAGGUAACCUGCCUCGUAGCGGGGGAUAACUAUUGGAAACGAUAGCUAAUACCGCAUAACAAUGGAUGACACAUGUCAUUUAUUUGAAAGGGGCAAUUGCUCCACUACAAGAUGGACCUGCGUUGUAUUAGCUAGUAGGUGAGGUAAUGGCUCACCUAGGCGACGAUACAUAGCCGACCUGAGAGGGUGAUCGGCCACACUUGGACUGAGACACGGCCCAGACGCCUACGGGAGGCAGCAGUAGGGAAUCUUCGGCAAUGGGGGCAACCCUGACCGAGCAACGCCGCGUGAGUGAAGAAGGUUUUCGGAUCGUAAAGCUCUGUUGUAAGUCAAGAACGGGUGUGAGAGUGGAAAGUUCACACUGUGACGGUAGCUUACCAGAAAGGGACGGCUAACUACGUG
rnacentral:rRNA from 1 species